rnacentral:tmRNA from 1 species
GGGGGUGUACCGGAUUCGACGGGUUGAGUACAAUUGCAGGCUGCAUGCCGAGAUUGACCGAUGAAUCUCGUUAAUCAUUCAUCAUGGAUAAAUGUAAUUGACAACAAUUACUCAUACAGACUCGCAGCAUAAACUGACGAGUCCGUUCCUUUGGGUUCUUGCCAGUAGGGCCCAUUGCGAGCGUCGACAAAACUGGCUUUUCCGAAGCGCAUGUCUGCUGCGUGGCUGGAGAACUUAAUGCAGAAUAGGUUGAAGUUGCUUUGCUAUUGAGCAUUGCUUUAUCCGAAACUUAAUCAAUAGCUAAGCAUGUAGAUGCUUGACGAUUUACCUACUCGGACCGGGGUUCGAUUCCCCGCACCUCCACAA